rnacentral:rRNA from 1 species
UACGUAGGUGGCAAGCGUUGUCCGGAUUUACUGGGCGUAAAGCGCGCGCAGGCGGAUUGGUCAGUCCGGGGUGAAAUCUCACGGCUCAACUGUGAGCGGUCCCCGGAUACUGCCAGUCUCGAGGUGUCUAGAGGAGAGCGGAAUUCCCGGUGUAGUGGUGGAAUGCGUAGAUAUCGGGAAGAACACCAGUGGCGAAAGCGGC